rnacentral:lncRNA from 1 species
UGGGUUUUCUAAUCUGUAAAUUACGGAGUACUGUUGUCAUACUAAACCUUAAGAAUGCAACACCCCAAAGUCUUGAUACUAAACAGCAACUUUCAAAACCAGUCUAAUAUAUUUUUUCAGCAAAAUAGUGUGGCAUACCUGAAUUAUAAGGAACACUGAAUGACAUGUAGUUUAGAUUUAGUUACACUUAUCUUACUUUUAAAUUAUCUAAAUUAUUAUCUUUUCUUUAUUUCAGACACAAUUAUCUGGUUCACAUUCUGUUUCUUCUUCCAGACUUGGACAAGGCGUUCCGUCAUUAGCAGGGUGAAGAACUACAAAACGAGUUCUGAUCUUGGUCCCCAUUUUUCUGCAAGGACCUCUGCAGAGACCCCAGGAAGACCAUUGUGAAACUUCACAGUCCAGUGGUGUUUCUGAGAAUGUGUCAAGUAUUUCAUUGCUUUUAGCUGGCUGGUUAAGAUGAGGUAUAGGAAAACCCAGCUGGUUUUUCUUCAAUUUCACCAUCGUUACUUGAGCAAUAGGUGGCAAAAUUUUGAGUUUGGGAUAAUAAAAUGAGUUUGCUGGGUGGCUUGGAGAGGAACAAGUGAUCUCUGUAACUGUGUCUUGUGGAAUAGUGGCAAAGUUUGGGGAGGAAAAUGUGAAGCCACUGUCGGUUCCAGCAUCAUAUGGAUAUAGAUCUACUGAUAUUUCUUCCAUCCAGUGGUCCCCUUCACAGAGGUUUAGGCUGUCAAUACCCACAAACCAGUCGGGACUUGGCACAAUUCGUACAACAAAUGAAACCUAAUGAAAUAAAACAACACAGCAUUACUUAUGGCAAUACUUAUUUUGAAAUUCUCCAGUACUACUUAUUGUAACUGUAGCUUAACUCGUGAAAUAAAUGGGC